CUGCAUCCUGGUACAGGUGUGUACUUAUCUGUACCACAGUGGACUGCAGCACAUCAAUGUGGUACAGCUUCUGCGUUUGUUAGAGCGGUCAUUGUGGGUUUAUUUGACACUGAAACAUUAAUAAGGAGUAACUUUAAAGGCGGUGCCUCCAAGCGGCCAACAAAUGGAGAGAAGCGUAUGCAGUUAGACCCUGUGAAAACAUCAGCUCUGACAGCUGCUACUCUGGAGAAGUUUCCUGGAACUUCAAAAGGCGUCAUAAGUGACGCAGUUAACAGAAAAAUCGCAGAGUUGAAAUAUCGCCUUUUGAAGGAAACAUCAGUCAAGACCUCAGCAGGAUAACAAAAAUACAUACCCACACUACAAACACACUACAUGUACAUACAAAUACAUUUUAUAAUGUCAUUUACAACAGAUUAAAAAAUAUAUUUUAUAUUCUAUGUGUUCUACAAGUUUUAAAAUUGUAUAUUUAAAUGAUAUUUAAGUUCUCUAUAUUGUACUGUUUAUUUUAUUUUUCACAUCCAGUGAAUAUUUUGGAAUAUAUAUAUAUUUGGAAUUCAA